AGCGGGAGUGGCUCAGUGGUAGAGCGUCACCUUGCCAAGGUGAACGUCGCGAGUUCGAAUCUCGUCUUCCGCUCCAA
rnacentral:tRNA from 1 species